GGAAGAGGGGACGUAAGACCUUGUGCUUUUGGAGCGGCCGAUGCCUGAUUAGCUAGUUGGUGGGGUAAUAGCCUACCAAGGCGACGAUCAGUAGUUGGUCUGAGAGGACGACCAGCCACACUGGGACUGAGACACGGCCCAGACUCCUACGGGAGGCAGCAGUGGGGAAUUUUGGACAAUGGGCGAAAGCCUGAUCCAGCAAUGCCGCGUGAGUGAAGAAGGCCUUCGGGUUGUAAAGCUCUUUCAGUCGAGAAGAAAAGGUUGUGACUAAUAAUCACAACUCAUGACGGUACCGACAGAAGAAGCACCGGCUAACUACGUGCCAGCAGCCGCGGUAAUACGUAGGGUGCAAGCGUUAAUCGGAAUUACUGGGCGUAAAGGGUGCGCAGGCGGCUUUGUAAGUCAGAUGUGAAAUCCCCGGGCUUAACCUGGGAAUUGCGUUUGAAACUACAAAGCUAGA
rnacentral:rRNA from 1 species